CCAGGUUGAUUCUGCCUGACGUAGACGCUAUUCCCUAAGAUUAACCCAUGCAUGUUUUUGACAUUUGAAAAAUGGACUGCUCAGUAAUACUCACUUUAUUUUAUGUAAAUUUUUAAUUAACUACGUUAAAGUGUAGAUAAGAUGUUUACAGUAAGAGUGAGACCUAUCAGCUAGUUGUUAAGGUAAUGGCUUAACAAGGCUGUGACGGGUAACGGUAUUACUUUGUAAUAUUCCGGAGAAGGAGCCCGAGAGACGGCUACUAAGUCUAAGGAUUGCAGCAGGGGCGAAACUUGACCUAUGGAUUUUAUCUGAGGCAGUUAUGGGAAGUAAUAUUAUAUUGUUUCAUAUUUUAAAAGUAUAUGAGGUGAUUAAUUGGAGGGCAAAUCAAGUGCCAGCAGCCGCGGUAAUACUUGUUCCAAGAGUGUGUAUGAUGAUUGAUGCAGUUAAAAAGUCCGUAGUUUAUUUUUUUAAGAAGCAAUAUGAGGUGCACUGUAUAGUUGGGAGAAAGAUGAAAUGUGACGACCCUGACUGGACGAACA
rnacentral:rRNA from 1 species